rnacentral:lncRNA from 1 species
UAUCCACAGGAAACGAUUCUCUCACGUCUUUCCAAACCAGAUGGAGGAGGGAGAAAUAGAAACUCUUCAAAGAUAAAAAACCUAACGAAACACUUGAUGCAUUAUGCAUGUCAAUACAAAUAUAUGUUUUUCAGACCAUUUCAAGUUCAUUACCCUUUUAUAUUUCAAAAACUCAUCACUAAAAUCAUGUUAUUUAAAUUGCAU